AUGGCUGACGCGGGUCAAAGUGUAAUAUAUCUGCUCUUAUCACCGUAUUAUCUGAUACGGGUUGCAUUUGGAUCCAAGGUAUUAAACUCCUUUUUGCAAGUUAGCGGAGUGCUUUAGGCCCGCUUCACCUCGCUGCGGGUCGGCCCGGUGUUGCACAAUCUUCAGGAUUUUGGUGUACGGACA